rnacentral:rRNA from 1 species
UACACACCGCCCGUCACACCAUGGGAGUUGGAAAUGCCCGAAGUCAGUGGCCCAACCGGAAGGGGGAGCUGCCGAAGGCAGGUUCGAUGACUGGGGUGAAGUCGUAACAAGGUAUC